CCACUCAUAGCUCAGUUGGAAGAGCAACUGACUGUAGAACGCCCUGGUGUUCUGAAAGCACCGCUGUCAUCAGUGGGUCCCUGGUUCGAAUCCAGGUGAGUGGA
rnacentral:tRNA from 1 species